GUAGGUGGCAAGCGUUGUCCGGAAUUAUUGGGCGUAAAGCGCGCGCAGGCGGUUCUUUAAGUCUGAUGUGAAAGCCCACGGCUCAACCGUGGAGGGUCAUUGGAAACUGGAGAACUUGAGUACAGAAGAGGAAAGCGGAAUUCCACGUGUAGCGGUGAAAUGCGUAGAGAUGUGGAGGAACACCAGUGGCGAAGGCGGCUUUCUGGUCUGUAACUGACGCUGAGGCGCGAAAGUGUGGGGAGCAAACAGGAUUAGAUACCCUGGUAGUCCACGCCGUAAACGAUGAGUGCUAAGUGUUAGGGGGGUUUUCCGCCCCCCUUAGUGCUGCAGCUAACGCAUUAAGCACUCCGCCUGGGAGUACGGCCGCAAGGCUG
rnacentral:rRNA from 1 species